rnacentral:rRNA from 1 species
UGGGGAAUAUUGGACAAUGGGGGGAACCCUGAUCCAGCAAUGCCGCGUGUGUGAAGAAGGCCUGAGGGUUGUAAAGCACUUUCAGAGGGGAGGAGGACUAUUAGGUUAAGAGCUAGAUAGUUGGACGUUACCCUCAGAAGCAGCACCGGCUAACUCCGUGCCAGCAGCCGCGGUAAUACGGGGGGUGCAAGCGUUAAUCGGAAUUAUUGGGCGUAAAGCGCGUGUAGGCGGACUUGUAAGUUGGGGGUGAAAUCCCGAGGCUCAACCUCGGAACUGCCUCCAAAACUACAAAUCUGGACCUAAGUAGAGGCAAGUGGAAUUGCGAGUGUAGAGGUGAAAUUCGUAGAUAUUCGCAGGAACACCAGUGGCGAAGGCGACUUGCUGGACUUAUGGUGACGCUGAGACGCGAAAGCGUGGGGAGCAAACAGGAUUAGAUACCCCCGUAGUCCCUGAGCGGGCUGGCAAGGCGCAU